GCGCCAGUAGCUCAGCUGGAUAGAGCGCUGCCCUCCGGAGGCAGAGGUCUCAGGUUCGAAUCCUGUCGGGCGCACCA
rnacentral:tRNA from 1 species